rnacentral:rRNA from 1 species
CUAAGUCAUCAUGGCCCUUACGGCCUAGGGCUACACACGUGCUACAAUGGUCGGUACAAAGGGUUGCCAAGCCGCGAGGUGGAGCUAAUCCCAUAAAACCGAUCGUAGUCCGGAUCGCAGUCUGCAACUCGACUGCGUGAAGUCGGAAUCGCUAGUAAUCGUGAAUCAGAAUGUCACGGUGAAUACGUUCCCGGGCCUU